UACGGGGGGAGCAAGCGUUGUUCGGAUUUACUGGCGUAAAGAGCUCGUAGGCGGUCUGUCGCGUCGGUCGUGAAACUUGGGCUUAACCCUGAGCUUGCGGUCGAUACGGGCAUGACUGGAGUUCGGUAGGGGAGACUGGAAUUCCUGGUGUAGCGGUGAAAUGCGCAGAUAUCUGGAGGAACACCGGUGGCGAAGGCGGCGAAUCCUGGACCGGCAUUGACGCUGAGGCGCGAAAGCUAGGGAGCAAC
rnacentral:rRNA from 1 species